GAAUAUAGAAUGUUUGUAUAGCGCCCGAUCUCGUCUGAUCUUGGAAGCUAAGCAGGGUCGGGCCUGGUUAGUACUUGGAUGGGAGACCGCCUGGGAAUUCCAGGUGCUGUAAGCU
rnacentral:rRNA from 1 species